rnacentral:lncRNA from 1 species
CGUGCCGGGACAUAAUUCUCGUACAUUUUUAUACCUUCGCCGUGAUCAGCUGUCCCGUUGCAAACAAAGGGAUUCUUAUCAAGCAACAUCUUAAUCUUGUACAUAAUCCGCUAUUCUGCAGUGAUUUUCUUUCACUCCAGUAUCAUUUGUACGUUGCAGCAUCAUCAAACACUAUGGCCGAUGAAUCAGAAGAUGACGUAGAUGCUACGAGAGAGCUCAUUUCACAAUGGACAACAGAAGUGAUACGUGCCUUUCUACAAGGAGGGGACUCAAGCUUGGAAAUUGAGGAGUCAUUAUUUUAUGGGUGUUCUCUGCCCUGACGCUGGGGGUACUGUUCAGCCAUCCGAGGUAUAGAGGUAGAGAGGAACUGGACGAUGGAUGGAUGGGGGGGGGGGGGGAGAAAGAAAGGCAUGCAGAGAUGGCUGUCUACUAUGUAUAGAGACAUUUGUGUGCUACUGGAUAAGGACCCUCCAUCACUAGAGGGAAGAAUAAUGAGAGACUACAAAUAGGGGAAGGCAUUUAGUUAUUUUGCCAGUUUCUGGUUAGGGAGACAUUUGUUUCAUCUCCUGGGAGAAAGCUGUCUGAAAUUCAAAAUGUAUUUGAUACUUGAAUAAAUUUAGUUCAUUUUCUAGACUGGUUCAUGUCAAACC